UACAGAGGUCUCAAGCGUUGUUCGGAUUCAUUGGGCGUAAAGGGUGCGUAGGCGGCGCGGUAAGUCGGGUGUGAAAUCUCGGGGCUUAACUCCGAAACUGCAUUCGAUACUGCCGUGCUUGAGGACUGGAGAGGAGACUGGAAUUUACGGUGUAGCGGUGAAAUGCGCAGAUAUCAGGAGGAACACCGGUGGCGAAGGCGGAUCUCUGGGCCAUUACUGACGCUGAGGAGCGAAAGCGUGGGGAGCGAACAGG
rnacentral:rRNA from 1 species